CUGGCGCUGGCUGCGUAAGCUGAGCUAACGCUCGCUUGACGCUCCUCCGGUUCAUUGAGCCCGCCCGGGGCGCGGUGGAUCGGAUCGAAAAUCCGGGCUGGCUGAGCGCGGUCCUCCGACGUGCGAGGCGAGACUUCAGGAGGUGGUCCCCAAAGCGGCCGAUUCCUUGCCGGGUUGGGGAGACGCAAGAAGAGGGAUCUACGCACGUAGAUGCGGUUCUGGAACCACACUCGGACCAGGGUUCGAUUCCCUGCGCCUCCAUCA
rnacentral:tmRNA from 1 species